UCUGUAGAGACAAGGGCAAGACCAGGCAGUGCACAGGGAGGAAACGCUUGGGCCGCCGCCACCCCCUGUAUCCGGGCCCCCAGACACCUCUUAGAUAACGAUUUGUCCAAUAGCUGAAGUGAGCCAAAAAGUUCCCUUCCUGGGUGUACACCUCCUAGCAGUCCUCUGCUGUCUGACAAAGGAGUGUCCUAACAGUGGCGAGCAGGAGCACUUGCCACGCACAGCGCCGUUCCAGGGCUGGGGCCCAGGCGGAAGAAAGCUGGAGUUUGUGGUUGGAGCAACAUGGUUUGGGGGGAACGGUGCUGAAAACCUGGUCCCCCAAAGCUAUCGGUACUGAGAAGUGGGACCUUCUGGGAGCCUUGUUAUACAAAGCCAACCUUAAGAUGACUCCUCAUUCCACUGAAUUAAUUCAACACUGCAAAACUAACUCCAAGAGAUCGGCAAGGAUAUCUCAUGGCUUGGAAAAUGUGUGUACAAGGGUGGUUCUCUGACACAACUGGGAAAUGUUACCUCAGUACGGCUUUUUAGGGUAGCAAAUCCCUCAGAGCUAACAUUUGUCUGCCUUCUGACAAUGCCAUCAUUAUAACCUCUCUGCAACAGAAAGUUCCAGGCCUUCCGCAAUAUUGGAAACAUUCCACGAUUCCUUCAGUGACGUAGGACUGCUCCCUCCUUGCUGAGAUCCAAAGUGAAUGACGUCUAUAUACAGAGGGAGAAAAGAGAUCAUCAUUUUUAAAGCACAUGCUUUUUGCUAGUGGAUUUCUUAAGUCACCCUGAAAGCCACACGCUUGCUAGACCGCAACAGGGCUCCAGGGCAGAAGCACAGGCCUCUGUCUGAGAAAGAGGCAGGGAUGAUGUCAUCCUCAGCUGUCAAGGACCGUGGGGAUUACGAAACUUGAAGUGGGAUUUGGAAGUCUCUGGUGCUGUGAAUAUAGGGGCAGCUGGCGACCUCUUCACCUGGGCAGAAACACCCUGCUCCUCCCCUCCUGCUGCAGUAACUACCUUCUUGGCUCGGACUGUGACAGGUUAGUUUGGGUCACUUUUUCCACUCUAAGUUUCAAGAGGUUUUACUGUUGAUCUUAACAUUUUUUCCACUUUUAUUCAAAUCUUUUUGACAUGAUUUCAUGUCAUGAACAAUCUUAAGUGUGGAGGGAUACAAAAUGAAUGGUGCACUUGGCAACUGCGGAGCUACAAUGGAGAAGCAAUUAAGGAGGCGGGGAGUGGGCUGCAGUCACUUAGGAACCCUUCAGCCCUCGGAGGGCUGCACAGCUGUGUUUGGAUUUCCUACUGACAUGUGACCACAGACUAACAAGCCUGCUGCGCAGGACACAUCAUCAUGAUGGACCCUCCUUCCGGAGUGUCCAGCAUGUGCAGGGCAUCCUAUUGGGUGUUGUGCAUAAUUUUAAGAAUAAAUGUAGCUUUGUUGCCACAAUCUAGUAAACUCUGUGC